rnacentral:rRNA from 1 species
CACGCCGUAAACGAUGAGAACUAAGUGUUGGCGCAAGUCAGUGCUGAAGUUAACGCAUUAAGUUCUCCGCCUGGGUAGUACGGUCGCAAGACUGAAACUCAAAGGAAUUGACGGGAACCCGCACAAGCGGUGGAGUAUGUUGUUUAAUUCGAAGAUACACGAAGAACCUUACCAGGUCUUGACAUACCAUUGACAGGCACAGAGAUGUGCUCUCCUUCGGGCAAUGGAUACAGGUGGUGCAUGGUUGUCGUCAGCUCGUGCCGUGAGGUGUUGGGUUAAGUCCCGCAACGAGCGCAACCCUCAUUGUUAGUUACUACCAUUCAGUUGAGGACUCUAAUGAGACUGCCAACGACAAGUUG